GCCGAGUGUAUCCUAUCCCUCUCAGGGAUCUUACCUGGAAGCCAAUCAGGGGUUAUUUAUCAAGUUAGCCAGCCAGGGCAAAUUGGAUAUCCGGGCGCAUCUGGAAUACCUGGAGCACCUGGAGCCGCAGGAUUACCUGGUCAACCUGGAAUUACCUAUCCUGUUCAAGUUUUCGAAACAUCAUAUCCGAGUUAUCCGGUAUAUCCGACACAAUGCUCAUCCCAGCAAUCGAGCUCUUAUCCAAAUGGAAUUGUGUCGUCUCAGUGCUCGCAGUAUCCAAUUCAAACCUUGUCAAGCUAUCCAACAGGACCAUCCGGAACAUAUUAUCAGCCUGGAAUCUCUAGUCAAUCCGGACUUUCUGGAGUCCCAGCAAGACCUGUUACAGAAACCCCUGAAGAAUCAGAGGUCUUCAGUCAAAAGCCUUUAAAACCUGGUAAUCAGUAUCUACCUAGUCAGCCGGUUUCAAUUAAACCAAGCUACCCAUCGUCGUUCAUUCAAACGACCACAUCUGGGCCAAGUAUAAGCACAUUCAGUCCAGAGGAUAGUCCGUCUUCUUACAAACCAGGACCUGAAGAAUCAGUGCAGGUGACAGAGGUUUACUCGACAACUUACGAUUCCGAGACUGGAAAACCUUUAACUACAGUUUCGUCGAUUCCCACUUUCGAUGAAUCUACAGAACUUCCACAAGAGAUAUCCUCCCUCUAUCCGGGGGUGACUGUGAGACCCGACUCUUCCUCCACUCCAGCCCCAGUGGACGUCAUAGCGUACCCAACUCCAGCCAAUAGCGGAUCUUGCCCUUGUUACUUGGUUAAACCUUUAAAUGGAACGAAGCCAGGUUCUAAUGACAUCUCACCGGAGUUCAUCCAAUCACUGCCACCUGGUGCCUCCAUUGGUUACAUUCCAGUCGUAUUUUAUCCGAACUGCGGCAACACGACUGGGAAUGCUGAAUACGCACAACAUGUGUAUCCAUCAGCGAUCGUAAUGCCAUACUCAUGUGGAUCUUGCCUACAAAAAGAGCCAGAAACGGAAGUUGGCGAAAGUAGUACUUCUAAUCCGUAUAUUUAUCGGAGGAACGGAGCGAAGCCAGGAAAUGCUGGCGUUGUUCUCGACCAUACUUACUCUAAGGGCGUUAAGUCAAUUUGGUGUCAGGACGAGGCCUAG
rnacentral:lncRNA from 1 species